GAUAAUUGUCCUGGAUAUUAACUAGAAGACUCUGAAUUCUAGCUCUGUCUUGAAAUGGAAGCCAUCUGGGUGACCUUGGAGGCCAGUCCUUUUCCUCAACCCCAGAGAGAAGACAGUGGAAAACCACUUCCAAAAAUGUCUCUGUUAGGAUAUGGUGUAAGUCUUUAACAAGUUGUCCAGGCAAUAUAUGUGUUCUAUAACUUUAAAUGUAUUCAAUAACUUUAGGAGAGAAUGCUGAGUAAUUGUACUGCUGAGUCAUUGUAAUGACUAAUGACUGCUGACUAACUGCUGACUGCAAUUAUCAUAAUUGUACUGUUGAGUCAUUGCAUUGCUGACUUCACUUAUCUUAAGUGGAUAAUUACUAGUGUAAACUGUAUAUAAGAAGGAAGCUGAGCUAUAGUCAUUGUUGGACCUGCUCUCAUCAUUGCUUGACUUGCUGCUUGACCUGUUGAUUGAAACUGUUACUGUCGUGUGUGAAGAAGUGGAGGGAUCUGCUAUCAUCGUGAUUUGUUACCAGCGUGAAUUACUGCUGUUUGUCUGAGUGUCCUCAGAAGUUAGCAGCUGCUGUGCUACUGACGCAGAUGGGGAACAACUUGCUGGAGCUGGGAGCAAGCCAGUCUGCACGCCCACUGCAUUCUCCUGGGAAUCCAAGGAACCUAGAAUUAUGAGGACACUGAGACAACCUUCGUUGGUGUCCCUUGAAAGAAUCAUGGUCCCUAAGGGGCUUGGGCAGAAAGCUGCAACAAUUACAUAGGGAUGAAACAA